rnacentral:rRNA from 1 species
UACGUAGAAGACUAGUGUUAUUCAUCUUUAAUAGGUUUAAAGGGUCCUAGACGGUAUAAUUAGUCUUUAACAGGAAACGGUUAUACUAGAGUUAUAUAUGAGGAGGUGAGUAUUUGUGGAGUAGAGUUGAAAUUCUUUGAUACCAUGAAGACUGGUAAAGGCGAAAGCAACCUUUUAUCUAAUAACUGACGUUGAGGGACGAAGGCUCGGGUCGCGAACAGG